UACGUAGGGCGCAAGCGUUGUCCGGAAUUAUUGGGCGUAAAGAGCUCGUAGGCGGCCUGUUGCGUCCGCUGUGAAAUCCCGGGGCUCAACCCCGGGCCUGCAGUGGAUACGGGCUGGCUAGAGGCAGGCAGGGGAGAACGGAAUUCCUGGUGUAGCGGUGAAAUGCGCAGAUAUCAGGAGGAACACCGGUGGCGAAGGCGGGUCUCUGGGCCGAUACUGACGCUGAGGAGCGAAAGCGUGGGUAGCAAACAGG
rnacentral:rRNA from 1 species